UACGUAGGUGGCAAGCGUUGUCCGGAAUUAUUGGGCGUAAGCGCGCGCAGGCGGCCUCUUAAGUCUGAUGUGAAAGCCCCCGGCUCAACCCGGGGAGGGCCAUUGGAAACUGGGAGGCUUGAGUAUAGGAGAGAAGAGUGGAAUUCCACGUGUAGCGGUGAAAUGCGUAGAGAUGUGGAGGAACACCAGUGGCGAAGGCGACUCUUUGGCCUAUAACUGACGCUGAGGCGCGAAAGCGUGGGGAGCAAACAGG
rnacentral:rRNA from 1 species